UGCCAAGCACGGCUAACAGGUUUGUACCCAACUCCGUCAGGUCCGGAAGGAAGCAGCGGUAAGUAUUUAAUUUGUGUAGCCUCUGCUUGGCUUUU
rnacentral:SRP_RNA from 1 species